CGUACCUUGAAGAGUACCAGAAGCAGGUGCAGUGCCUUGGAUUACCCCCACCAGAUUUCUUUGAUCAUGGGAAAGAGCUGUGUCCCUUCAAAGAGAAAUCAGAAGUUUCUCAUACACAGCUUUCAAAAUCGGACAAAGACUAACUCCAUAAAACCUUCCAGGUUGUCCAGAAAAAACAGCAAAAACCCAUCUAUUCUAUUUUUUUUAGAAUGAUUGUUCACCCUUAGCAAUUAGUUAAUAUAUACAUAUGCACCUACUUAUCUGUUACCUUGAGAGCAAGGACUAAGCAUCUCUGCUUUUGUAAAACACCUUUCCC
rnacentral:lncRNA from 1 species